ACGCAUCCGUAACUCCACUGGUCUGGCCAGCACAGCGACUGUCCUCCCAGUCGGACACCAACCGCGGAGCUGAACACGUUGCACCAUCCAAUCGUAUUAUUUCAUGUCUCGAGGCUGUCAUCAUCACAAUGAGAGAAAGCAUCAUCUCAUGACCAGCAUCAUGGCUCUCGAUAAACCAUCGCCGCAUCCGACUUAAUUCCACCAACGGAGGGAGAGACUCAGGGUGUUGAGGAUAGUGGGGGAGAGGACAACUGAGGCAGAUGUGCCAGGCUUUGGGCUUGAGGAAUAGCCGAGGGCUUCUGCACGUGCUGAACCAUCACGAGAAUUGACUCGGUCAUUCACCCAACUCGACAUUCAGCAAAUGAUGCUGCAGUCUGCACCCAAAUAAAAUGACCGGUCAGCUGGGAGAUGAUGAUUCGUUGGAGUUGAACGAAUUGUGGAUGACAUUGGCGAGUGAUGUGGAACCCCCUGUACGUAUACUGAAUGUAUCCUGAGUGUAAUCCUGUCCGGUAUACCUUCAGUAUACGUAACAGGAGGCUACACCGUUCUACGAUGAUCUUCGCUGGAGCAACUAACCUAUUUAUUAGAUCUAAAUACUUUUUAUCAUUGGGUUAUGUAAGAUCGAUUGUAAGUGAUUGUAAUAAUCCUUGGCUUAGAUUAUUAGACAUUUAUUUUGUUAACCUUAUCGGAGAUUAUUAUCGGUUCGUAAGGUGUGCCAUUAAAUAUGUGAGAUAUUACUAUCAAUGGUAUUUUUGUUGAGCUCUUUUCAUCGGAUUGGCAAAUAUAUUCUUCUUGAAAUGUCGUUGCGCCGGUUGUUGCAAUAUUUGUAUGAUCAGUGGGUACUGAAUUAUCAUGGAAUAAAUGAAAUUAUAUUUAUGGAG